rnacentral:rRNA from 1 species
UACGUAGGGUGCGAGCGUUAAUCGGAAUUACUGGGCGUAAAGCGUGCGCAGGCGGUUCGUUAAGUCAGAUGUGAAAGCCCCGGGCUCAACCUGGGAACUGCAUUUGAAACUGGCGGGCUUGAGUGUGGCAGAGGGGGGUGGAAUUCCUGGUGUAGCGGUGAAAUGCGCAGAUAUCAGGAGGAACACCUAUUGCGAAGGCAGCUCGCUGGGACGUUACUGACGCUGAGACGCGAAAGCGUGGGGAGCAAACAGG